UAUCUCUGUAGAGUCUGCAUAUCAAUAAGCGGAGGAAAAGAAACUAACUAGGAUUCCCUCAGUAACGGCGAGUGAAGCGGGAAGAGCUCAAAUUUGAAAUCUUCAAGGUUCUACCUUGACGAAUUGUAGUUUGAAGAAGUGUUUUCUGUUGAGUGUUUCGGUAAAAGUUCUUUGGAAUAGGACAUCAUAGAGGGUGAGAAUCCCGUAUUUGACCAUUAUUUUCAGCUGUGUGAUACACUUUCAAAGAGUCGGAUUGUUUGGGAAUGCAGUCCAAAAUGGGUGGUAAAUUUCAUCUAAAGCUAAAUAUUGGCGAGAGACCGAUAGCGGACAAGUACCGUGAGGGAAAGAUGAAAAGAACUUUGAAAAGAGAGUUAAACAGUACGUGAAAUUGUCAAAAGGGAAGCGUUUGACACCAGUGUUGUUUUCUCGAAAAUCAAUUAAAAAUGGCUUGAUUUUGUGUUGUAUUGACCUUAAAAGCUUUCUUCACUUUUUUCAUGUCUUUUUUAAUGCACUUUUCGUUUAACAAGUCAACAUCAGUUUCUUUUGUUGUAAAAAGGUCAUUGGAAGGUGGCUUUCUUUUCGGAGAAAGUGUUUAUAGCCUUUGACUUCUGCAAUCGGAGAGACUGAGGUCUGCAGCGUAGAUCCUUCUGGAUUAGAUUCAUUUGUGCUAAGUUACAACCGUUUAUAGACAACUUGUUGACUAUAUUCGAUCCUGUAGCUUACUCGCUUAUGUAAUUUUACCUACGCUUAGGAUGUUGAUCUGUAGUGCGUGCGC
rnacentral:rRNA from 1 species